ACUUUUGUUGUCCUCGAAAACAUUCGUGGAAGAAGGUUACAGGUUGAAAUUCAAUGUGGGGAAAAGCAAGAGUCACAAAUGGAAGACCAUAAGUUCACAGGUCAAGAAGCAGACCCAUAAAACUUUUUUUCAACAUCUUUCUUCUCGUGUAAGCUAAAAUUUUACUGUUCAGCUUUGAUCUUGUAGUUAUUGUGAAGUGAGAGAUCAAAUGUUCACAUUGUCGACGAUCAUCUUUUCCUUUCGAGUGUGCUUUAUACGGAAGAUUCUUUUUUGAUAUUCUUUUACUUCAUUACAAAGAAACCCCAUAAAUCUGCGUUUAUAUACUCUGUAUUACUGCACAAUGCAAGGAAGUUUCAUGCUUGCAAUAGUUUUUCACUUAGAGGUUUUUUGUAAUUUCCAGUGUUGAUAGCUAAAAUACGCAAAAGAGAGUGAAAGUGACAAUGGAAGAGCGUUCUUCAAGCACGAAAAGAGCUCGGCCUACGGAUGAGUUUAUUCAAUUGGUGUUUUCGUGGUCUCUUGAAGACAUUUUUAAUGAGGAUCUGUACAGAAACCAGGUUCGUUCUUUGUUACUCUUUUGGAUUCUGGUGGUAAGUUUUCGGCAGAGUAUUUAACAUUUUUUGCAGGUCUUAGUUUGAUCAUUGAUGAAUAACUGUAGCUUAAUAUUUCAGCAGAGUAUUU
rnacentral:lncRNA from 1 species